CCUACGGGUGGCAGCAGUCGAGAAUUAUUCACAAUGGGGGAAACCCUGAUGGUGCGACGCCGCGUGGGGGAAUGAAGGUCUUCGGAUUGUAAACCCCUGUCAUGUGGGAGCAAAUUAAAAAGAUAGUACCACAAGAGGAAGAGACGGCUAACUCUGUGCCAGCAGCCGCGGUAAUACAGAGGUCUCAAGCGUUGUUCGGAAUCACUGGGCGUAAGGCGUGCGUAGGCUGUUUAGUAAGUCGUGUGUGAAAGGCGCGGGCUCAACCCGCGGACGGCACAUGAUACUGCGAGACUAGAGUAAUGGAGGGGGAACCGGAAUUCUCGGUGUAGCAGUGAAAUGCGUAGAUAUCGAGAGGAACACUCGUGGCGAAGGCGGGUUCCUGGACAUUAACUGACGCUGAGGCACGAAGGCCAGGGGAGCGAAAGGGAUUAGAUACCCGAGUAGUC
rnacentral:rRNA from 1 species